rnacentral:rRNA from 1 species
UACAGAGGGUGCGAGCGUUGUUCGGAAUUACUGGGCGUAAAGCGCACGUAGGCGGAUAUUUAAGUCAGGGGUGAAAUCCCGGGGCUCAACCCCGGAACUGCCUUUGAUACUGGGUAUCUGGAGUAUGGAAGAGGUGAGUGGAAUUCCGAGUGUAGAGGUGAAAUUCGUAGAUAUUCGGAGGAACACCAGUGGCGAAGGCGGCUCACUGGUCCAUUACUGACGCUGAGGUGCGAAAGCGUGGGGAGCAAACAGG